rnacentral:rRNA from 12 species
GGAUGCGAUCAUACCCGCACUAAAGCACUGGAUCCCGAAGUUAAGCGUGCUUGGGCGAGAGUAGUACUAGGAUAGGUGAUCUCCUGGGAAGUCCUCGUAUUGCAUUCC